rnacentral:rRNA from 1 species
AUGGUUCCUGUAGAUGAACUUAAGGAGAAGGCGCUUAUUUCACUGGCCAAGGAAACAUGUGAAAAAGGUGGGAUCUUUCCGUCGGAUUUCCCAGCUGGCUAUAUGCAUCAUAGAGCAUCUAAUCUGCAUCAAUUUAGACAUGGUGUGGAGCGUCGACCACGGCGAGCUUGGCUAAUGUCAACACGUGAAGCUGGGUCAAGUACAGAAGACGAAACACAAGAUUCAAGAUCACUCUCCUGCUUCAGUCAGCUGAGAGAGCUAAGAGAUAAUAUGGUAAACAAUUUCUAUCAAGUGGGUGAGCUCCAUUUUUCAAGGCCAUGA